ACGAACGCUAGCGGCGUGCCUAAGAAAUGCAAGUCGAGCGAACCGAGGGUGCUUGCACCCAAAGGUUAGCGGCGAACGGUCGCGUAACACGUAAGCAACCUGCCUCGAAGUUUGGGAUAGCCCUCCGAAAGGGGGAUUAAUACCGGAUGUGGACAAUUUCUCGCAUGUGGAAUUGUCUAAAGCAGCAAUGCGCUUCGAGAUGGGCUUGCGGCCUAUCAGCUAGUUGGUGUGGGUAACGGCUCACCAAGGCGACGACGGGUAGCUGGUCUGAGAGGAUGGUCAGCCGGACUGGGACUGAGACACGGCCCAGACUCCUACGGGGGGCAGCAAUUAGGAAUCUUGCGCAAUGGGCGAAAGCCUGACGCAGCGACGCCGCGUGACUGAUGACGUCUUUCGGGAUGUAAAGGUCUUUUUUGGGGGAAGAAGGAUGUGACGGUACCCCAAGAAUAAGCCCCGGCUAACUACGU
rnacentral:rRNA from 1 species